UACGUAGGGGGCUAGCGUUGUCCGGAAUCAUUGGGCGUAAAGAGCGUGUAGGCGGUUCGGUAAGUCCGCUGUGAAAGUCCAGGGCUCAACCCUGGAAUGCCAGUGGGAAACUGCCGAGCUAGAGUCCGGAAGAGGAGAGUGGAAUUCCUGGUGUAGCGGUGAAAUGCGAGAUAUCGGGAAGAACACCAAAGCGAAAGCACUUUGACUGGGCCGAAACUGCACUGAUAGACGAA
rnacentral:rRNA from 1 species